GUAAUUACCUUCAAAUUACACUUCUCUGUAAAUAAACAUAUUCCCUGCAGAAGUCAAGGCCUGAUUUAUAUUAAUCCUUCCAUUUGAAAAGAUUUGAUUUAGUCAUGCGAUGAUUCAUCAUCCAACAAGCAUCAUCACCACUUACGAUUGACCUGGAGGCCAAAUUCGGACGCUGAGGGCUUCACUCUCUCUGCAAGACUGCAACGUGUCGCCGUGGGGGCCAUCAGGCCGAAAUAUUCGCUGCGCAAAAUGGGCUCAGAGUGUUAAUGGGCCUACAUCUUCUAAAGCUGAAUAUGACCCAGUUGGCCCAGGUCCUUCUCCUCCCCAACGUCGUCGCCUUUCUCCGCCGCCGGCCGCCUCGCCGCGCGUCCGCGCAAAGGCACAACCGCGCCCAGCCGAGCAUUGAACGAAAGAACAGACGGCUCAACGUCCACCUUGACUCCAGGAGGGCUCUGGAUUUCAGCUUGGUAAACUGCAUUGACCUCACCUACGUUUGUGACCGUUCUCAAUACAGUAAUGGGAUUCCUCAGAUCUGGAAUGGCGAUGGAUGGUAAGUUCAGAUGAUACCCUGGUAGCACUGUUUUGUUGCAGCUUAAAAACUUGUUGAACGUGCACCCAAUGAACUUGUUGUAGCCACUUGGAUCAAUGUCAUAAACCAAGCCAGGUUCAGCUGCCUUGUUAGGAUUUAUGUGCCCCCCUCCAUAGUCAAAUGGGUCAGCGAUCUUCAGGGGCAAUCCUUGUGCGAGGAUCGGCAUGCCGCGCUCAUCAGUUACAGAUGCUUCAAUCAUGCAAAAUUCAAUAAAGGUUGAAACAAAAUGCUGAAGUGGGUCGACAUGAAUUUGAGGUAGUGUUGCGAAAUCUGGUUAGAACAUGAACAUGUUACCAGAGGAGUUACCAGUUGUCAUGAUGGCUGAUUUUAGUGCUGCUGGAGACCAAUUCGGGUGCAGGGUUUUCAGCAGCGCAACGAUGCCUGCAACGUGUGGCGUUGCCAUAGAUGUCCCUGAGCCGAAUGCAUAUUCAUCUUCUCUGGCUGCUAGGAUGCUGACUCCUGGUGCUGCUAUGUCAGGCUGUGAAAGAAACAGGGAUGUAGUGAGCUGGCAGCAUUAUGGCUCAGACAGCAGGGGCAUCAUACGUUUUUAUGUCUGGACACCUUGAUAACUUCAGGGUAAUUGAUCGAUGGACCUCUCGAGGAGAAUGCUGCCACCGUUGGAGCCAGUGCUGCCGCACCUGUGACAGUGCGCGCUGGUUCGAUCUUCGCCACAGGAGAGCUGCUUGAAAUAGUCAGAAUCAUGGGAGAAAGGCUUGAACUCGUUGCAGAAGAUUGAACCAACCCGGAGAUUCUGAAUUGCCAAUUGGUCAAUAUAUAGAGAAUAAUGCAAUUCGAUGAUUUACCUUGCAUCGCUCAUGUAAUUUCCAAUCUGGUUCGCAGUAUAGAAGUCCACGAGAAUGCACGGAAUGCCUUUGCAAUCAGCUGUCACAUCUACAAUGUUCAUGCUGUACUGAGCAAAGAUGAGACCAGAGCCCCCACCAUCCAGGACGCUCUUCAGUGCGAGUGGAAAAAGUGCAAGCGGCGAUACUGGGAAAGCAACACACAACACAAUUUUCCCCCUCACAUCCGUGCCAUUCAGAGCAUCAGCAGUGCAUCUAACCACAUGGAGAGCACGAAAAAAAAAGACGAGGUGAUCAACUUGAAAUCAAGUUUGGAAUAUUCGCCAAAAUUAAGCAGCAAAAAUUCAGCAACUGAUCUGUAUAUCGUACAGGCCUCCGUAUGCAAGAAGCCUGAAGCGUGAUCGCGGUCGGAAAUGACCGAUCAAUCUUGCUCGCCGCGACGGUGAUUACCCAAGGAGCUGUAUUCCCGACCACCUGCUGUGCGGGCCCAGAGUUGCCGGCGGCGUACACGACGGUGAUCCCUUGCUGGACGGCGUGGAGGGCGCCGAACGAGUUCUCCUCCACGGUGAGCGACAGCGACAGCACGUCGACUCCGUCGUGUAUCGCGUCAUCGAUGGCGGCGAGCACGGUGGCGGAGCUGCCGGCCCCAGCUCCGUGGCCGCUGCCCCAGACGGACUUGUACACCGCGAUGCGGGCUCUGGGCGCGCCACCGCGUGCCGUGCCCGCGGCAAGGCCGUGGAAGCUUGCCGCCUCCACGAUGGAGCCCGCCGCGGUGGACGCCGUGUGCGUGCCGUGGCCGUUGGCGUCCCGCGCCGAGAGGUAUUCGUUCUUGAGUUCCUCCUCGGCCACGCCCGCGUGGUAGAACCGCGCGCCGAUGAUCUUGCGGCUGCAGUUGCUGCGGUCCCACCCCACCCCGACCUGGCACACGCCUUUCCACCGUGGCGGCACCGGCCCGUAGCCGUCGUCGCUGAAGCUUCUCGACUCCGGCCAUAUUCCUGUGAUGGUAAUGGUUUUCACGAGAAAUGGCGCCAAACACAAGAUUUUGAGCAAAGUCACUUGAGCAGUCAAUUUGCUGUUGCAAGUUCAGCCCCAGGAAGUCCCAGCUUCGCGUGGUGGCCGUCUGGUACCUUCUGCUCGGCUGCACACUGAUGACUUCAGGCAAGUCUAGAUGGACCAUGUGAACAAGCAAGCAGAGUUUCAGAAGGUGAAGCAUGAUUACAGUUCACAAAAAGGUCUUGGAUGAAAUCAGAGCUGGAAAAAACGAGUGUUCAAUUGAAGUGACCAGACUGAAUGGAGAGGUGAGGUCAGUCAGGUCACCUUUCAAGAACGCUUGCCAGUGUAUCAUGGUGCGAUGCGACGACAUCAUCUGGGUGCCCAUGCUUCCUUUCGCCUAGGUACGCUAUGUACAGCUGCGGAAGGCAGAUGGUAUAGUCGAGAAACAUCUUUGAGAUGAUUUGAAUCACCUUGAAAUUGAGAGAACAAAAACAGGGUGAGGCAGGCUUAACCUUCUUCUGCGAUGCCUGCGCUUGGACUAGGAGCGUGCAAAAGCAGAGCAGCAGCAGUGGAGCCAAACGGCGGUGGUAAGAACAAGAGCGUGCUGCCAUCUCCGUUCUCGCCGAAUUGCAACGGUGCAUGGGAGGGCCCAUUUGUAGGUGUCAAUGUUCCCUAGGUCAACAGAGGAAAUAAAUUUUCUAUUGAUUGCUUUUUCUUUUUC